UACAGAGGUCUCAAGCGUUGUUCGGAUUCAUUGGGCGUAAAGGGUGCGUAGGUGGCAUGGUAAGUCGGAUGUGAAAUCCCGGGGCUCAACCCCGGAACUGCAUUCGAUACUGCUGAGCUAGAGUACUGGAGAGGAGAGUGGAAUUUACGGUGUAGCAGUGAAAUGCGUAGAUAUCGUAAGGAAGACCAGUGGCGAAGGCGGAUCUCUGGACAGUUACUGACACUGAGGCACGAAGGCCAGGGGAGCAAACGGG
rnacentral:rRNA from 1 species